GUUGACCCUCAUCUUCAUACAAAAGCCCCUUCAACUUCAUAAUCAGUGGUAUGACUGUACCUCAAGCAGCUGACAGCAUCUGUGUUGACAGAAGUAUGUAAUGGAACUGGAUCCUUGAGAGUUUACCACAACAGGGAGCCAAAACUGCGUGUUCAGAUCUGAGAAAAUGGUCUCACUCAAAGCUGCUGUCUCUUGGACCAUGUGGCCUCCUGGAAUUGGAUCAUCCGAAGACCUCCACGUUAGGACUCUUUCUUAAG